rnacentral:rRNA from 1 species
UACGGAGGGGGCUAGCGUUGUUCGGAAUUACUGGGCGUAAAGCGCACGUAGGCGGCUUUGUAAGUUAGAGGUGAAAGCCCGGGGCUCAACUCCGGAACUGCCUUUAAGACUGCAUCGCUAGAAUUGUGGAGAGGUAAGUGGAAUUCCGAGUGUAGAGGUGAAAUUCGUAGAUAUUCGGAAGAACACCAGUGGCGAAGGCGACUUACUGGCCCGAUACUGACGCUGAGGCGCGAAAGCGUGGGGAGCAAACAGG